rnacentral:rRNA from 1 species
GACGAACGCUGGCGGCGUGCUUAACACAUGCAAGUCGAACGGAGAAUUUAUUUCGGUAAAUUCUUAGUGGCGAACGGGUGAGUAACGCGUGGGCAACCUGCCCUUCAGAUGGGGACAACAUCCCGAAAGGGGUGCUAAUACCGAAUACGAUCACGCUGCCGCAUGGCGGAGUGAUGAAAGAUGGCCUCUAUUUAUAAGCUAUCGCUGAAGGAUGGGCCUGCGUCUGAUUAGCUAGUUGGUGGGGUAACGGCCUACCAAGGCGAUGAUCAGUAGCCGGUCUGAGAGGAUGAACGGCCACAUUGGGACUGAGACACGGCCCAAACUCCUACGGGAGGCAGCAGUGGGGAAUAUUCCGCAAUGGACGAAAGUCUGACGGAGCAACGCCGCGUGAGUGAUGAAGGUUUUCGGAUCGUAAAGCUCUGUCCUUGGGGAAGAAGGUCUUCGGACUUGACGGUACCCAAGAAGAAAGCCCCGGCUAACUACGUGCCAGCAGCCGCGGUAAUGCUACG